CCUACGGGAGGCAGCAGUGGGGAAUAUUGGGCAAUGGGCGCAAGCCUGACCCAGCAACGCCGCGUGAAGGAAGAAGGCUUUCGGGGUGGAAACUUCUUUUGGCAGGGAAGAGAAGAAGACGGUACGUGACGAAUAAGCCAUGGCUACCGCCGUGCCAGCAGCCGCGGUAAUACGGAGGUUGCAAGCGUUGUCCGGAUUUACUGGGUGUAAAGGGCGUGUAGCCGGGUUGACAAGUCAGAUGUGAAAUCCUGCGGCGUACCCGCAGAACGGCCUUUGAAACUGUUGAUCUUGAGUUCUGGACAGGCAGUUGGACUUCCUAUUGUAGCGGUUCAAUGCGUAGAUAUUAGGCGGAACCCCAGUGGCG
rnacentral:rRNA from 1 species